rnacentral:rRNA from 1 species
GACGAGCCACACGAACGUUAUUCGGAAUUACUGGGCUUAAAGGGUGCGUAGGCUGUGCGGCAAGUUGGGCGUGAAAUCCCCCGGCUCAACCGGGGAAUUGCGCCCAAAACUACCGUGCUGGAGAAAGACAGAGGUGAGCGGAACUUCGGGUGGAGCGGUGAAAUGCGUUGAUAUCCGAAGGAACACCGGUGGCGAAAGCGGCUCACUGGGUCUUUUCUGACGCUGAUGCACGAAAGCUAGGGGAGCAAACGGG